UCACCGAAAUUGGAUUUUCAACGACUGGUGACACAAAAUUAACGAGCCAUUAGUAGGGCAAAAAAAAGGCAAAAAAAGAAUUAAAGAUGAUGAGAUA
ensembl:ncRNA R153.6 ncRNA